rnacentral:rRNA from 1 species
UACGUAGGGUGCAAGCGUUAAUCGGAAUUACUGGGCGUAAAGCGUGCGCAGGCGGUUCGCCAAGUCAGGUGUGAAAUCCCCGGGCUUAACCUGGGAAUUGCGCUUGAAACUAGCGGGCUUGAGUGUGGCAGAGGGGGGUGGAAUUCCACGUGUAGCAGUGAAAUGCGUAGAGAUGUGGAGGAACACCGAUGGCGAAGGCAGCCCCCUGGGUCAACACUGACGCUCAUGCACGAAAGCGUGGGGAGCAAACAGG